AUUGAACGCUGGCGGCAGGCCUAACACAUGCACGUCGAACGAGGGGAGGACGGGUGAGUAAUGUCUGGGAAACGGCCUGGUGGAGGGGGAUAACUAAUGGAAACGGUAACUAAUACCGCAUACCAUCAGAUGUGCCCAGAUGGGAUUAGCUUGUUGGUGGGGUAACGGCUCACCAAGGCGACGAUACCUAGCUGGUCUGAGAGGAUGACCAGACACACUGGAACUGAGAGACGCUCCAGUCUCUUGCGGGAGGCAGCAGUGUGGAAUAUUGCGCAAUGGGCUUCAGCGUUAGGCAUCCAUGCCCCUUGUAUGAAGUAGUCCUUCUGGUUGUAAAGUACUUUCAGCUGGUGGGCGUUACGCGCACAGGACGCACCGGCUAACUCCGUCCCAGCAGCCGCGGUAAUUC
rnacentral:rRNA from 1 species